AGCGAACGCUGGCGGCAGGCUUAACACAUGCAAGUCGAGCGGGCACUUUCGGGUGUCAGCGGCGGACGGGUGAGUAACGCGUGGGAACGUGCCCUCUGGUUCGGAAUAACUCAGGGAAACUUGAGCUAAUACCGGAUACGCCCUUUUGGGGAAAGGCUUGCUGCCGGAGGAUCGGCCCGCGUCUGAUUAGCUAGUUGGUGAGGUAACGGCUCACCAAGGCGACGAUCAGUAGCUGGUCUGAGAGGAUGAUCAGCCACACUGGGACUGAGACACGGCCCAGACUCCUACGGGAGGCAGCAGUGGGGAAUAUUGGACAAUGGGCGCAAGCCUGAUCCAGCCAUGCCGCGUGAGUGAUCAAGGCCUUAGGGUUGUAAAGCUCUUUUAUCCGGGACGAUAAUGACGGUACCGGAGGAAUAAGCCCCGGCUAACUACGUG
rnacentral:rRNA from 1 species